UACAGAGGUCUCAAGCGUUGUUCGGAUUCAUUGGGCGUAAAGGGUGCGUAGGCGGCGCGGUAAGUCGGGUGUGAAAUCUCGGGGCUUAACUCCGAAACUGCAUUCGAUACUGCCGUGCUUGAGGACUGGAGAGGAGACUGGAAUUUACGGUGUAGCGGUGAAAUGCGUAGAGAUCGGGAGGAACACCGGUGGCGAAGGCGGGUCUCUGGGCAUCUCCUGACGCUGAGGCGCGAAAGCGUGGGGAGCAAACGGG
rnacentral:rRNA from 1 species